rnacentral:rRNA from 1 species
UACGGGGGGGGCAAGCGUUGUUCGGAAUUACUGGGCGUAAAGGGCUCGUAGGUGGCCAACUAAGUCAGACGUGAAAGCCCCCGGCUCAACUGGGGAGGGUCACGCGAUACUGAUCGACUCGAAGGCAGGAGAGGGUAGUGGAAUUCCCGGUGUAGUGGUGAGAUGCGUAGAUAUCGGGAGGAACACCAGUGGCGAAGGCGACUACCUGGCCUGUUUCUUGACGCUGAGGCGCGAAAGCUAGGGGAGCAAACGGG